AUACGUAGGUGGCAAGCGUUGUCCGGAAUUACUGGGUGUAAAGGGCGUGUAGGCGGGGAUGCAAGUCAGAUGUGAAACCCCAUGGCUCAACUGUGGGCUUGCAUCUGAAACUGUGUUUCUUGAGUGUUGGAGAGGGAAGUGGAAUUCCUAGUGUAGCGGUGAAAUGCGUAGAGAUUAGGAGGAACACCAGUGGCGAAGGCGACUUCCUGGCCAACAGCUGACGCUGAGGCGCGAAAGCGUGGGGAGCAAACAGGAUUAGAUACCCUGGUAGUCCACGCCGUAAACGAUGGAUACUAGGUGUAGGUGGUAUAAGCCAUCUGUGCCGCAGUAAACACAUUAAGUAUCCCACCUGGGGAGUACGACCGCAAGGUUGAA
rnacentral:rRNA from 1 species